UACGUAGGGUGCAAGCGUUAUCCGGAAUUAUUGGGCGUAAAGAGCUCGUAGGCGGUUUGUCGCGUCUGCUGUGAAAACUGGAGGCUCAACCUCCAGCCUGCAGUGGGUACGGGCAGACUGGAGUACUGCAGGGGGAGACUGGAAUUCCUGGUGUAGCGGUGGAAUGCGCAGAUAUCGGGAGGAACACCAGUGGCGAAGGCGGCUCUCUGGACAGGUACUGACGCUGAGACGCGAAAGCGUGGGUAGCAAACAGG
rnacentral:rRNA from 1 species